CUUACCCAGCACCGACAGCCAUGCUUUCAGGAGAGCCAGUUCCGCGGAGUAUCUAACACUGUUCAGUUCCCAAGGAAAGGAGCCUUGAUGCAAGGGAGGAGCUCCGUCCUGCCUCAACUUAACAUGCCAUGCUAUGUCCAAGCCCAUGGGAGGCCUGCCCCUUUCUGAAUGGAGAAGGAGGAGGAGUGAAUGGAAAGAGCUUUCAUACAGUAGCUGUUUGAAGCAGAAAUAGGCACCCACAGCUAAGCACUGAACCAUACUCCUGGAAUACGAUUGUGGAGAGGGAGGAGGGACGAGCAAAGGAGCCAAGACGGUACUGCAGAAACCCAAAGAAACAGUUGACCUGUGCUGUGCCUGUCUCGACCAGCAAGAAAGACACAACUCGGGAACUCUUCUUCCUGCAGUUUAUUUCAGGAGCCUUGUACAAUCUUCUUCUGGGGGCCCCGAGGAAACCCGACCCUCUGCUUAAAAGCGCCCUUGGCAACCCACCCCAGACCGCCAGGUGGCAAAAGCAGAAGGGUCCACAUACACGGAAGCAGGCCUGAAGCCCACCCAGCCUUUGCCAGAUAAGAAAUUGUCCAACAAAAAGACCUCUCACCCUUGGGAUGGUGGAAGGCAGAAGCUGGCGCCAUCUUUUGGGCUGACAAAGCGCAGCUCUCCACAGACCUGACCUAGUGAGAGCAUGGAGACCCUAGUCAUAAAGCUGGGGAAACAACAUUGGACCGAAACAAGCCCUCUGAAUGUAGGUGACAGCUAAGAGACCAAGACAGUCUAUGGGACCUCUAACAGUAGAGCCAGUCUUUAACCCUAGAGCACAAAAUGGACUUUGGGAGCCCAUUCCCUAUGGAGGGAUACUAUUGCAACCCAGAUACAGCAAGGAGGGCUUUGGCCCUCCCCCAAAUGAUAUGACAGACUUUGAAGGUCCCUGGUGGAGGGCCUCACUAUCCCUGGG
rnacentral:lncRNA from 1 species